rnacentral:piRNA from 1 species
UGAAAGGUCAACCUCGGGCUGCUGAAAAC